AUUGAACGCUGGCGGCAGGCCUAACACAUGCAAGUCGAACGCGUGGCGGACGGGUGAGUAAUGUCUGGGAAACUGCCUGAUGGAGUGGUAUAACUACUGGAAACUGUAGCUAAUCCCCAAUACCAUCGGAUGUGCCCAUAUGGGAUUAGCUAGUAGGUGGGUUAAAGGCUCACCUAGGCGACGAUCCCUAGCUGGUCUGAGAGGAUGACCAGCCACACUGGAACUGAGACACGGUCCAGACUCCUACGGGAGGUAGCAGUGGGGAAUAUUGCACAAUGGGCGCAAGCCUGAUGCAGCCAUGCCGCGUGUAUGAAGAAGGCCUUCGGGUUGUAAAGUACUUUCAGCGGGGAGGCGUUACCCGCAGAAGAAGCACCGGCUAACUCCGUGCCAGCAGCCGCGGUAAUAC
rnacentral:rRNA from 1 species